rnacentral:misc_RNA from 2 species
CAGAGUUCAUGCCCUCCGGGUAGAUCUCCCACCCAUUGCUAUAACUACUCUCGUUGCUUUGGCGGGCCGCUGGGCCCUGCCCGGCCGCCGGCCCCGGCUGGCGCGUGCCCGCCAGAGACCUCACAGACUCUGAAUGUUAGUGUCGUCUGAGUACUAUACAAUAGUUA